UACAGAGGGUGCAAGCGUUGCUCGGAUUUACUGGGCGUAAAGCGUACGCAGACGGUGAGAAAGGUCGGAUGUGAAAGCCCCGGGCUCAACCCGGGAACUGCAUCCGAAACCAUCUCGCUCGAGUAUGGGAGAGGGAAGCGGAAUUCCUGGUGUAGAGGUGAAAUUCGUAGAUAUCAGGAGGAACAUCUGCGGCGAAGGCGGCUUCCUGGCCCAUUACUGACGUUCAGGUACGAAAGCGUGGGUAGCAAACAGG
rnacentral:rRNA from 1 species